GAUGAACGCUGGCGGCGUGCCUAAUACAUGCAAGUCGAGCGAAUGGAUUAAGAGCUUGCUCUUAUGAAGUUAGCGGCGGACGGGUGAGUAACACGUGGGUAACCUGCCCAUAAGACUGGGAUAACUCCGGGAAACCGGGGCUAAUACCGGAUAACAUUUUGAACCGCAUGGUUCGAAAUUGAAAGGCGGCUUCGGCUGUAACUGAUGGAUGGCUCCGGGGAGCAUUAGCUAGUGGGUGAGGUAACGGCUCACCAAGGCGACGAUGGGUAGCCGGCCUGAGAGGGCGACCGGCCACACUGGAACUGAGACACGGUCCAGACUCCUACGGGAGGCAGCAGUGAGGAAUCUUGCGCAAUGGGCGAAAGCCUGACGCAGCGACGCCGCGUGGAGGAUGAAGGUCUUCGGAUCGUAAACUCCUGUCGAGCGGGACGAAUCCCGGAAGGGCAAACAGGCCUUCCGGUUGACGGUACCGCUGGAGGAAGCCCCGGCUAACUCCGUGCCAGCAGCCGCAGUAA
rnacentral:rRNA from 1 species